rnacentral:rRNA from 1 species
AACGAACGCUGGCGGCAGGCCUAACACAUGCAAGUCGAACGAGUAAGAGCCGUAGCAAUACGGAGUUCUGCUAGUGGCGCACGGGUGAGUAACGCGUGGGAACGUGCCUUGGAGUUCGGGAUAACAGUUGGAAACGACUGCUAAUACCGAAUAUUCCCUCAGGGGGAAAGAUUUAUCGCUCCAAGAUCGGCCCGCGUAAGAUUAGGUAGUUGGUGGGGGUAAUGGCCUACCAAGCCUACGAUCUUUAGCUGGUCUGAGAGGACGACCAGCCACACUGGAACUGAGACACGGUCCAGACUCCUACGGGAGGCAGCAGUGGGGAAUAUUGGACAAUGGGCGAAAGCCUGAUCCAGCCAUGCCGCGUGAAUGAUGAAGGCCUUAGGGUUGUAAAAUUCUUUGCAGGGGAAGAUAAUGACGGUACCCUGCGAAUAAGCUCCGGCUAACUACGUGCCAGCAG